rnacentral:rRNA from 1 species
UACGUAGGGUGCGAGCGUUGUCCGGAAUUAUUGGGCGUAAAGAGCUUGUAGGUGGCUCGUUGCGUCGGGAGUGAAAACCUGCGGCUUAACCGCAGGCCUGCUUCCGAUACGGGCGAGCUAGAGUUCGGCAGGGGAGACUGGAAUUCCUGGUGUAGCGGUGGAAUGCGCAGAUAUCAGGAGGAACACCGGUGGCGAAGGCGGGUCUCUGGGCCGAUACUGACACUGAUGAGCGAAAGCCAGGGGAGCAAACGGG